CGCCCUUCCAGAGGGGGACAACAGUUGGAAACGACUGCUAAUACCGCAUACGAUCCAAUCUCGGCAUCGAGACUGGAUGAAAGGUGGCCUCUAUUUAUAAGCUAUCACUGAAGGAGGGGAUUGCGUCUGAUUAGCUAGUUGGAGGGGUAACGGCCCACCAAGGCGAUGAUCAGUAGCCGGUCUGAGAGGAUGAACGGCCACAUUGGGACUGAGACACGGCCCAG
rnacentral:rRNA from 1 species